GAGCAUUCUCACUGACAAGAACAAAAGAGGUCCUGCAGAGAGAGAAGACCACGAGAAGCAAAAAGCAGCAAGAUGACUGGAAAGAUUCAGGAAUUGGGAGCAGUGAAUAACUCAAAGUGCAGUGGAGGUUGGUGCUGAACAUCAGCAUUAGCUGACAAUUUGUAAAAGAAGCAGUUCCUGGCCAGGUGCCAUGGCUCACGCCUAUAAUCUCAGCACUUUGGGAGACCAAGGAGGGUGUAUCACGAGGUCAAGAGAUCGAGACCAUCCUGGCUAACACAGUGAAACCCUGUCUCUACGAAAAAGAACACAAAAAAUUAGCCAGGUGUGGUGGCACGUCAAAAAGUGACAUGUAUUCAAAGAAAAAAAUAACAAGAUGUCCAUUCCUUGGCUCCCUUCCCUCCCCGUUCCUGCUGCUCCUCAGUCCCCUGAGAUUGAACCCUGGCUGGGGCUGGGUCGCAGGACAGCCCCUCAGAUGAGGUCAGCAACAUUGAGGGACAUUUCCUCAAUGGAGGUGUUGUAGACAGUCUCGAUAUCUCAAAGAGUCCUCUUGUCUUCUUCUGUCACCAUGCUAAUAGCCACACCCUUACGGCCAAACUGUCCACCUCGACCAAUUCUGUGGAUAUAGUUUUCUCUGUUGGUGGGAAGGUCAUAGUCGAUGAGUAAAGAAACCUGCAGCACAGCAAUGCCUCUGGCCAGCAGGUCAGUGGUAAUCAAAACUCUGCUAGAGCCAGAACAAAACUCCCUCAUUGGCCAGGCACCCUCUUGACCUUUAUCUCCAUGCAUGGCAGAGACAGUGAAAUCUCAAGCAUGCAACUUCUCGGGGGAGCCAGUCCACCUUCCUUCGGGUGUUGAUGAAGACACCUGCCUGAGUGACGGUCAGGGUUUCAUGCAAGUCAUACAGGGUGUCCUGCUUCCACUCCUCUCAUUCCACGUUGAUGUAGAAUUGGCGGAUACCCUCCAGGUCAACUCUUCCUUCUUGACAAGAAUCUGAAUGGGGUCCCUCAUGAAUUUCUUGGUCACCUCAAGUACAUCAGAAGGCAUUGUAGCUGACAGCAAACAGGAUGUUGUUGUUGAGCUUUUGGAAUAUGUCAUAGAUCUGGUCCCUGAAUCCACAGCUUAACAUUUCAUCAGCUUUGUCCAGUACAAAUAUCUUGAUGUAUUUGGGAGACAGGUAUCUCCAGUUAAGCAUAUCACACACAGGGCCAGGGGUACCCCCAAUUAUAUGGGGAGCUUCCAUCUGCAGUUUCUGCACCUCAGCACACACGUGGGUGCCCCCUCUACAGGCGUGAUAGGAGGCACCCAUGCAGUCUCCGAGUGCCAUGCCCACCUUCUAUAUCUGCUGAGCCAAUUCCCGAGUGGGUGCUAGAACCAAAGCCUGGGUGGCCUUUAGAUCUAAUUCAAUCUGUUGCAGAAUUGAUGUGGCAAAUGUGGCAGUUUUCCAGUCCCAGACUGGGCUUGAGUGAUCACAUCAUAACCCUUGAUACAAGGUAGAAUGGCUCGCUGCUGGACGGCAAAGGCUUCUCAAAACCAUAGGCGUAGACGCCACGGAGAAGGGACUCCAAGAGGUUCAUGUCAUCAAAGCUGUCUACAAUCUCAUUCCAGUUACUCUCUAUGACGUCUCCAGG
rnacentral:lncRNA from 1 species